ensembl:lncRNA
GUCCCAGGGUGGAAAUGUGCGAGAGAAGGCCAAAGUUGUCCUUGUUCUCAUGGAGGAUGAUGAUAAACUAAAGGAGGAGAGAGACUUUGCAGUCAAAACCAGGGAGAAGACUUCAAAAAAUGCUGCUGCCUCAUCUACUGAUGCCAUCAAGGAUCCCAACUACAAGCCAUGCUACGUCGUCGGGUCCGCAGGGCUUCCAUCCUUAGACAACAUACCGUCAGUUGCCGACUUGACCGCUUCCUUCGCCGCCCGCAAGGAGGAACGUCUAAAGCAGGAGGCUGAGAUGAAAGACAAGGAGCGGAGGGCCAAGAUGAGUGAAGAAGAGUUGAAAUGGGAGGAUGCCGGCAAAGGCAAUGAUGAAAAAGGAGGUGCUUGGGGAGGGGCGAAAGCAGAGGAGAAUGAGAAGGAGGAAGAGAAGGUAAAAACAGAUGCUUGGGGAGUCCGCGACAGAACCUAAGGAAGCUGCAGAUCCAUGGGUCACAAACUCAAAGCCUGACACAUCUGAUACACUCACUAGCGGUGAUUCUUGGGGGGCUCUCACUCAAAACUAAUGAAGAUUCAUUUUCAGCUCAAAAAGAUGCGUUUGCUGCUCUCAAAGAAGGAAGGAGAUCAUUUUGCUGCACCAAAAGAUUCAGAUCUCUUCAAUGCAUCCAAAGACAAAGACGAUCUCUUUCAAAGCUCCAAAGGACGAUCUCUUCAAAGCCCCAAAGGACGAUCUCUUCAAAGCUCCAAAGGACGAUCCCUUCAA